CCGUCGAUCGUGACGACCACG
rnacentral:sRNA from 1 species